rnacentral:rRNA from 1 species
GAUGAACGCUGGCGGCGUGCCUAAUACAUGCAAGUCGAACGCACAGCGAAAGGUGCUUGCACCUUUCAAGUGAGUGGCGAACGGGUGAGUAACACGUGGAUAACCUACCUCAAGGUUGGGGAUAACAUUUGGAAACAGAUGCUAAUACCGAAUAAAACUUCGUAUCGCAUGAUACAAGGUUAAAGGCGCUACGGCGUCACCUAGAGAUGGAUCCGCGGUGCANAGUUAGUUGGUGGGUAAAGCCUACCAAGACAAUGAUGACAUAGCCGAGUUGAGAGACUGAUCGGCCACA